rnacentral:snRNA from 1 species
GGAUAUGAGGGUAAUCUGGCUGUGACAUCUGUCACCCCAUUGAUGGCCAGGGUUGAUUGGCUGAUCUGGCUGGCUAAGGUGUGUCCCCUUCCUCCCUCACCGCUCCGUGUAUGCCCCUGCCAAAGCUGUGCGCUGGGUCGAAGAAGAUGACCACCCCUGAUAGAGGAGGACCGUUUCCUCGGUCAAGGGUAUACAAGUAGCUAGGCUCCCUUGCUAGAACCUCCAAACAAGCUCUCAAGAAUAAAGUGCUUGACACAUCCUAGGUGGAAGUCCAUGACCACCACAUUCUUCUCAAUGAA